rnacentral:rRNA from 1 species
AAGCCCCGCAAGGGGUAAGUAGAGUGGCAAACGGGUGAGUAACACGUGGGUGAUCUGCCUCAGAGUGGGGGAUAACGACCCGAAAGGGUCGCUAAUACCGCAUAACAUCCUGCCUUUGGAUAGGUGGAGAUCAAAGUUGGGGAUUCGCAAGAACCUGACGCUUGGAGAGGAGCCCGCGGCCGAUUAGCUAGUUGGUGAGGUAACGGCUCACCAAGGCGACGAUCGGUAUCCGGCCUGAGAGGGCGGACGGACACACUGGGACUGAGACACGGCCCAGACUCCUACGGGAGGCAGCAGUGGGGAAUUGUUCGCAAUGGGCGCAAGCCUGACGACGCAACGCCGCGUGGAGGACGAAGAUUUUCGGA